rnacentral:misc_RNA from 1 species
UCAAAACGGCGGACUUCGGUCUUUUGCUGCACCCUUGUCUUUUGCGCACCGAAUUGUUUCCUCGGCGGGCUUGCCUGCCGGUUGGACAUUAUCAAAACCUUUUUGUAGUUGCAAUCAGCGUCAGAAAAAUCAUAAUUAUUA